UGGAGCAUGUGGUUCAAUUCGAUACAAAGCGAUGAACCUUACCUGGGUUUGAAAUGUACCUGCAAAUCCCGAGAAAUCGGGACAUCCUUCGAGGGUGGUACACAGCUGUUGCAUGGCUGUCGUCAGCUCGUGACGUGAGUUGUUCUCUUAAGUGAGGUAACGAGCGCAACCCCCGUUCUGUGUUAUUGUGUCACAGAAGACUGCCUAGCAUUAUUUUGUUAGGAGGAAGGAGGGGACGACGUCAAGUCAUCAUGAUGCUUAUAUCCAGGGCUACACACAUCCUACAAUGGGCUAUAACAGAGGGUUGCAAGACCGCAAGGUGGAGCUAAUCCCUAAACUAGCCCUCAGUUGGGAUUGCAGGCUGAAACUCGCCUGCAUGAACCCGGAAUUGGUAGUAAUCGCACAUCAGCAGCGUGCGGUGAAUACGUUCUCGCCUCUU
rnacentral:rRNA from 1 species